rnacentral:lncRNA from 1 species
UAACCUGUUGACUGACUGAGCGGGCUUGGUCACUUGUCACAGACAGAAAUGCAGCUCUUCUCGGAGUGUUCAAUACAGAUCAUGAACCAUCUGCCCUAGCUUCUUCCCAGGUUGCAGAUUUAUCCGAGGAGUUUUGCAAAUUCCGCAGCUCUUGGUCUCUCCACUGAUCACGCACAUCAGGACAAUGGGACGUUUCUCUAAUGGUAAACUCUCCUGGGCCAGACUCCUUUGAAAUGUGUGAUGUCAGCAGUGUUCUGAGGCAGCAUUACAGCUGACUAGGCAGAAAGCCUUCUGGAAAUCUCUUUGAGUCGGCUGUUAUCCUGUUCUCUGUUUCUCCUUUUCACAGUGAAAGGAUCUAACCUCCAAAGAAGGAUGAUCGGCAAAUGUUCUCUGGGCCUUUGUUAUAAUGACUUCCCUGGAUGCUGCUUUCUCCAGUUUCUCCACUCUGGCAGAUGCCUUUCUAAAAAUUUAUUUAUUCAUCUAUUUAUUCAUUACUUUUCUUAAAUAUACAAGUAUGGUUAUUUGAAGCAACCCCAUAAAUCAGUGUGUCAAAGACCUAGAAGCAGGACGGGUCCUCUGGAAGCGCUGCUUGAUCUCACACUGGCCCACACUGAUUCCUUACGUGGUUUCAGAGGAUUUGGAUAAAAGGACUCCUGUGGACCCCUACAUUGGUGGCUUAACACUUGACUGUUCAACGAAAAGCCCUUCUUUUCUCGUAU